rnacentral:rRNA from 1 species
UAUAGGUUUGGUCCCAGCCUUCCUGUUAACUUUCAAUAGACUUAUACAUGCAAGCAUCCACGCCCCGGUGAGUAACGCCCUUCGAAUCACACAGGACUAAAAGGAGCAGGUAUCAAGCACACACUCUUGUAGCUCACAACGCCUUGCUUAACCACACCCCCACGGGAGACAGCAGUAACAAAAAUUAAGCCAUAAACGAAAGUUUGACUAAGCCAUAUUGACUAGGGUUGGUAAAUCUCGUGCCAGCCACCGCGGUCAUACGAUUGACCCAAGCUAACAGGAGUACGGCGUAAAGCGUGUUAAAGCAUCAUACUAAAUAGAGUUAAAUUUUAAUUAAACUGUAAAAAGCCAUAAUUAUAACAAAAAUAAAUGACGAAAGUAACCCUACAAUAGCUGAUACACCAUAGCUAAGACCCAAACUGGGAUUAGAUACCCCACUAUGCUUAGUCCUAAACACAAAUAAUUAU